AUACGUAGGGAGCAAGCGUUAUCCGGAUUUAUUGGGGGUAAAGGGUGCGUAGACGGGAAAUUAAGUUAGUUGUGAAAUCCCUCGGCUUAACUGAGGAACUGCAACUAAAACUGGUUUUCUUGAGUGCUGGAGAGGAAAGUGGAAUUCCUAGUGGAGCGGUGAAAUGCGUAGAUAUUAGGAGGAACACCAGUGGCGAAGGCGACUUUCUGGACAGUAACUGACGUUGAUGCACGAAAGUGUGGGGAGCAAACAGGAUUAGAUACCCUGGUAGUCCACACCGUAAACGAUGGAUACUAGGUGUAGGGUGUGAUAAACAUUCUGUGCCGUCGCAAACGCAAUAAGUAUCCCACCUGGGGAGUACGGCCGCAAGGUUGAAACUCAAAUGAAUUGACGGGG
rnacentral:rRNA from 1 species